CCUACGGGGGCGCAGCAGGCGCGAAACCUUUACACUGCACGCCAGUGCGAUAAGGGGAUCCGAGUGCGCAGGCAUAGAGCCUGCGCUUUUCUGAACCCGUAGGAAGGGUUCAGGAACAAGAGCUGGGCAAGACCGGUGCCAGCCGCCGCGGUAAUACCGGCAGCUCGAGUGAUGGCCGAUCUUAUUGGGCCUAAAGCGUCCGUAGCUGGCCUUGCAAGUCCGUCGGGAAAUCCACCCGCUCAACGGGUGGGCGUCCGGCGGAAACUGUGAGGCUUGGGACCGGGAGGCUUGAAGGGUACGUCCGGGGUAGGAGUGAAAUCCCGUAAUCCUGGACGGACCGCCGAUGGGGAAACCACUUCAAGAGAACGGAUCCGACAGUGAGGGACGAAAGCUAGGGUCUCGAACCGGAUUAGAUACCCGGGUAGUCCUAGCUGUAAACGAUGCCUGUUAGGUGUGACUCCCACUACGAGUGGGUGUUGUGCCGUAGGGAAGCCGCUAAACAGGCCGCCUGGGAAGUACGUCUGCAAGGAUGAAACUUAAAGGAAUUGGCGGGGGAGCACUACAACCGGAGGAGCCUGCGGUUUAAUUGGACUCAACGCCGGACAUCUCACCAGCAUCGACUGUGGUAAUGACGGUCAGGUUGAUGACCUUGCCCGAGCCACAGAGAGGAGGUGCAUGGCCGCCGUCAGCUCGUACCGUGAGGCGUCCUGUUAAGUCAGGCAACGAGCGAGACCCGCAUCCUUACUUGCCAGCAGCACCGCGAGGUGGCUGGGGACAGUAGGGAGACCGCCGUGGCUAACACGGAGGAAGGAACGGGCAACGGUAGGUCAGUAUGCCCCGAAUAUGCUGGGCAACACGCGGGCUACAAUGGUCGAGACAAUGGGUUCCAACGCCGAGAGGCGACGGUAAUCUCAGAAACUCGGUCGUAGUUCGGAUUGUGGACUGAAACUCGUCCACAUGAAGCUGGAUUCGGUAGUAAUCGCGUGUCAGAAGCGCGCGGUGAAUACGUCCCUGCUCCUUGCACACACCGCCCGUCAAAGCACCCGAGUGAGGUCCGGAUGAGGCUCCCGAGAGGGAGUCGAA
rnacentral:rRNA from 1 species